rnacentral:tRNA from 1 species
GCCUGGGUGGCUCAGUCGGUUAAGCGUCUGACUUCGGCUCAGGUCAUGAUCUCGCGGUUUGUGAGUUCGAGCCCCGCGUCGGGCU